rnacentral:tRNA from 1 species
GUUUUAAUAAUUUAAAAAUAAAAUAUUGAUUUUGUAAAUCAAUUAUAAGUAUAAACUUUUAAAACU